CGUUCGCAUUUUUUCGUUUCCUAUACGGCCAGCGCGAUUGGUCGCGUAAAGCAGCUAGGAAACGGAAUCGAUAAUCGAGCACUCCGUUUCCUAGCUGGUUAGCGCGAUGUUAUGUUGGUUGCGCAGGUUGUUUUGGUCGGCAUCUUCACGUGCACGAUUAAGUUAUUUUCGGUUUAUUUGUUGAUUGUUUGUCAUACGUGCAACAAUACCUACUCGAAGCGAAGCUGUGAUUUUUUGUAAUUUCCCGGAAAUUAAAGCCUGUGAAGUGUGUUCCUAAUUUUAUACAUAAAUGCAUGUAUGAAACACUUAUUUGUAAUUAAAAUGAAUCUUGAACAAAUCGAAAACUCGUUAAACGCAUUUUCUACCUACAAAAUAGUGGACAAAAUAAAACAAUCAGAAGUCACAAUUAGAACGUGUUUCGUCCGAAGUGGUGAUCAGACUUUAGAUGAUUGUUUCACAAAGUGGAUUAAAACAUUUUCUACCUUAACAUCCACGGAUUGGAUUAUAGGUAAAACAUACAAUAAUUUGCAAAGGCUGGCAUUUAGGAAAGAUUUUGUUUGCCAACACUGUAGCAAAAAUAAAAAGCGUAUAAAAGUAACUACUAGAAAUAGAAAUAAAAACUGUAGUGCAAAAAUUGUUGUGAAAGUAAAAAAGAACAACAAGGACUGCAGAUACGGAAAUGCGUACUUAAAGGAAGGACUAGACACUAUGAUUGUGAUUAAUUUUUACCAUUCCCAUAGAACAAACGUCGCUGAAGCUUUCAGUUUUCUUAGAGUUUCACCGAAAACCAGAGACCUUUUGAUACAGUAUUUUGAAGACAACAUGUCUCCAAUUGAAGCAAAGUCCUUUCGCAGAGCUUCCUUAAUGGCAGCUACACCAGUCGAAACAUUAGUAGAAGUUCUUGCGAAUGCGCAAAUAAACCCCAUGGAACGAAGCAUAUAUAAUAUGUAUGAAACUUGGAGAACUCACAACUAUGGGAAUAGGUCAAGUAAAAGCCUAUUUAGCCCAUUUUGGAGAAAAUACAACAAAAAACGACACAACUUGAUGGAAAAGGUUUUAAAUUUUGUGUCCAGGCUGAACCUUUUUGUUGCGUCAUUUUAAGUCCAAUAAUGUUGCGAGCCCACGAGCUUUCAUUUUCAAGAGACAUUAUGUUCGUUGAUUCAAGUGGCUCUUGCGACCAAAGCGGAUCCAUAAUAACAUUUUUAUUUGGAGCGAGUAAAAUAGGAGGAGUACCAUUAGGUUGCAUAAUUCACUAUGAACAAAAUGAGCAAGUAUAUGAACAUUGCUUUAGAAAAUUCAAUUAGCUUCUUGGAAGUAAGGGCUUUUAUGGAAGUGCAUAUCCAUCAGUGAUCAUGACCGAUGACAGUACCGCAGAGCGAAAUGCCCUACAAAAAGCUUUUCCAAAUUCAGCACUGCUGCUUGGCAGGCAGUUGGGGCAUUUAGUUAGUUGCAGUUGGCAGUUGGCAGUCAAAAACGGCGAUCUUACUUAGCAGAAUACCACAGAAAACCACUCAAAAACGGCGGACAACAGCGUUAACUCGUCCCUUAUAGUCAGUGGGGGGCCUAACCACCGACGACAGAGACGUCAACACACUCAAAAUGAGCCUUUUAACAGCAAACCUACGAGAUUUAAUGGAAAAUAUUUUAAAAAAUACUACAAACGCGCUAAACCAUGGUAGAUCACACAAAUAAAUAAAAAGCAAAGGUGGAUAAAAGAGGUUGUUAUAAGAAAUAAUUUCUUUGUAUGCAAAAAAGCUACAAAAUAAACUUUUUAUAUUAAUCGAUGU